rnacentral:rRNA from 1 species
UGGGGGAACCCUGAUGCAGCCAUGCCGCGUGUAUGAAGAAGGCCUUCGGGUUGUAAAGUACUUUCAGUUGUGAGGAAGGCGUAUGCGUUAAUAGCGUAUGUGUUUGACGUUAGCAACAGAAGAAGCACCGGCUAACUCCGUGCCAGCAGCCGCGGUAAUACGGAGGGUGCGAGCGUUAAUCGGAAUUACUGGGCGUAAAGCGCAUGCAGGCGGCUUGUUAAGCCAGAUGUGAAAGCCCGGGGCUCAACCUCGGAAUAGCAUUUGGAACUGGCAGGCUAGAGUCUUGUAGAGGGGGGUAGAAUUUCAGGUGUAGCGGUGAAAUGCGUAGAGAUCUGAAGGAAUACCGGUGGCGAAGGCGGCCCCCUGGACAAAGACUGACGCUCAGAUGCGAAAGCGUGGGGAGCAAACAGGAUUAGAUACCCUGGUAGUCCACGCCGUAAACGAUGUCUACUUGGAGGCUGGAACCUUGAGUUCUGGCUUUCGGAGCUAACGCGUUAAGUAGACCGCCUGGGGAGUACGGUCGCAAGAUUAAAACUCAAAUGAAUUGACGGGGGCCCGCACAAGCGGUGGAGCAUGUGGUUUAAUUCGAUGCAACGCGAAGAACCUUACCUACUCUUGACAUCCAGAGAACUUUCCAGAGAUGGAUUGGUGCCUUCGGGAACUCUGAGACAGGUGCUGCAUGGCUGUCGUCAGCUCGUGUUGUGAAAUGUUGGGGUUAAGUCCCGCAACGAGCGCAACCCCUAUCCUUGUUUGCCAGCACGUAAUGGUGGGAACUCCAGGGAGACUGCCGGUGAUAAACCGGAGGAAGGUGGGGGACGACGUCAAGUCAUCAUGGCCCUUA